GUGGGGAAUCACGCUGAUUUGCAUCGUGACAGUGUGUUUGUUUUUGUGGGAUGUGAAAGGAAUAUUAUCUAUAAAU
rnacentral:tRNA from 1 species